rnacentral:rRNA from 1 species
UACGAAGGGGGCUAGCGUUGUUCGGAAUUACUGGGCGUAAAGCGUGCGUAGGCGGUUUGUUAAGUCCGCUGUGAAAGCCCUGGGCUCAACCUGGGAAUGGCAGUGGAUACUGGAAAGCUAGAGUGCGGUAGAGGGUAGUGGAAUUCCCGGUGUAGCAGUGAAAUGCGUAGAGAUCGGGAGGAACACCAGUGGCGAAGGCGGCUACCUGGACCAGCACUGACACUGAGGCACGAAAGCGUGGGGAGCAAACAGG